rnacentral:lncRNA from 1 species
AUUUUUUUGCCUGAAGAAAUAUAGUCUAGAAACCACUUGGAACCUGUGGGGGAUGACUAAUUACCCUGUAGCGACUCAAGGCCAUCAAUCUUUCAAUGCCUGGGAUGAAGACUAAGAGGGCAAGAGAAAGGAAUUACUUAUAUCAUGUAAAUUUGUGGGGAAAUGGUAGCCCAGAGAGAUGGAAAACUAACAACAACCUUCAAUUAAUGUGGGAGUCACUUUUCUCAAUGGAACAUCCAGUCUUACAAAGGUACUGUGCUAUGUGUUAGGAACACAAAUGAAUCAAAUGUGGUCCUUGCCCUCAAAUGAGUCCACAUUCUAAAGAAGAGGAUAGAGAAGUAAAUCCGGCAUGAUGGUGCUGUAGACUAAUAAUGGUAAGUACAGGGUGCAUUUAAAUUAGAUGUGAGGAGAGGGUACCAUUAAGACUUCCAAAGAGAAAAGUGGCCUAAGUUGAGUUUUAAUUGGCAAUUGAGAGUUAGCAGGAUGCAAAAGGUGAGGUAAGGUCAUUUCAGGCAGCUAAAUAGCUUGUGUGAAAGCCAGGGAUGCUUAAGAAAUUGCCAGUGGUUGGCCUGGCUGGAGCAUGUGGUUUAUAUUAGAAAAUGGCAAUCUGUGAAGCUUGACAAGUAGACAGAAGCCAAUUCCUUAAGGGCUUUAUAUGCAAUAGUAAGAUGUUUAGAUUUUGUGAAGGUAAUGGGAACUAAAGUGUUUUAAGAGAGAAGUGACAUAAUUUGCUUUCACGAGUCAUACCAGUCAAAUUAACUUAUGAGCAAGUGUCCACAAGUUAAUAAAGUUUUAUUUUAAAAGCAUGGAAAAUUAGAAAUGAAUAAGGAAUAGAUUAACCCAAGACUGUGAUUACAGAAGCUCACCCGUAGUGAUCACGAAUACUUCUUUCUGAUUCUGGUACAUAUAAGCCAUUAGGUGUCCCAUCAAUGCCCAGGAUUUAAAGUAGACCUUUGUUUAAAAAACUUUUGUAUAAAGACAAAUAAAGGUCCACUUUAGGGCUUGGGCAUUGGUAAGAAUUCUUUGAGAUGGUCUAUGGUCUGUGUGACAAGAUCAGGGAGAGAAAGUAGUGCUGCUCAGCUGCCGAUCACUGCUAAAUAACUGUCAUCUCUCCCUGUACGAAGGUCUGCGAAGUCACAUAGAGACAUCAAAUGAUAUCAUUGGAAUUAAAUAUGUUGGGCCCAUACCCUAGGGACACUAUUGAAGAAAGAGAAAAGAUAACCUUCAUAGACUCUUAUACCUUAGGUUCUGUACAAGGUAAUUUUCAAACAAUAUUUCACUUAAUUCUUACAGACACAACCUUAUAAGGUCUUAUAAAAAUUACAACUAUCUAGAUUUUGAUGAAGAAAACAUUCAUCUCAAGUUAGUCUUUUAAAAAGAAAUUUUUAAGGGGAUGAGGGACUUGUUGAUUUAUAUAAAUGAAAACCUCAAGAGUAGCUUUUGCUAACCUCAGGGACAGCUUCAUGCAGGGACUCAGAUGGUGUCACCAGGAUGAUUCUCUCAGUCUCUUGGCUUGGAUUUGUUUUAUUCUGAGACAAUCUUACUUCCUGUGAUCAUAAAAUCAGCAGCUCUGGACUUAUAUGCCUCAGUUUCACAUCCAGGUAAAAACAGUUCCUCUUCCCUAAAAUUAUCAGGGAUGAAUCUCAUUAACCAAAUUAUGUAUCCAUUACAGAGCCCAUCCAUGUUAUUAGGGGUAUGAUUGGCUGAAACUCUCCAAUGAUUAGGAAUGAAAGUGGAAGGGAAGUGAUUCCACCUAAGGCAACUUAAUUUUCUUAUUUCUUCUAAUAAAAAAUGAUGAACAGAUGAAGAAACUGGAGCUCAGAGAGGUUAAGUGAUUUCACCAAGGUUUUACAGCCAAUGACUGGGAAAAGAGGAAUUAGAUCCUAAUCUUGUUUGACUCCAGUAUCCAUGUUCCUUUUACCACACCACACUGUCUUAAUAAAUGCAUUUUAACUGGACUUGUCAAGAAACUGCAAAACUUGAAUUUAUGCAUGAUACCAAUCAGUCACCCUAAUAAUGAAAGGGAACUCCUACACAAAUCAUCCCAAGCAGAAACAAAUUUAGAAAACUUCUCUGUUUGGCGUUGGAAUUUUUUUUAUCACUGUCACAGCAGAUGCACCUUUCUAUUAAAGAAAGUUCUUGGAGACCAUACUGAAUGAACAGCAGGGGAAAGAAUCUUGGGCCAUUUGCUGAAUGAAGUUUCGAAGAUUUCAAAUCAGAUUUAUCCGUGCAUGUGUCCCUUAUUGAAUAUAUUGAUUCUGAGUCUGAAAAAAAUUCACAUACAUGGACAUUUUCUAAAUCAAUCCCAUUCAUUUAUAAUGUAUAAAGAGUACAUUUCUUGAAGAAAAAUGCAUUUUAAUCAGUGUCACCACCUGCUGUGCAACUCUGAGCAAUCUUUGCUCUGUUCAUCUGUGAAGCUACCAUAUAGUUCAUAGAGCUGAUCUAAUAAUUAGAUAAAAUCAUAUGUAUAAAGUGCGUAGAACAUAGUAAGUGCUCAAGAAAGAAGAAUUUAAUAACCUUCUGUUUUCCUCAUUGGCAUAUACUCUAAAUUCAGAAACAAGGUGACUUGUACUGGUAAAUCUUCCACAGGCAGUAAUUCCUACACUUUUUCUCUUAACUUGUGUCCCCAGUGGUGGCCAAAUAAGCAACAAUCUGUCAUUAAAAACUUACAUGCCUUAAGAAGUGCUCCCCACUUUAAGAAUCUCAUAGGGAGUCCCUUUGUAAAAUUAAAAUUUGUGAUAUAGUAAAUCAGUCAGUAAUUUAUAUGCUUUCCAUCUGUAUGUAUUUCCAUGUUCAGGUAUGUUGUGCUUCCUUUAAAUCCUGUGUAACAUGUUAUCCUGCAUAAUGAUUUACAGACUUCUCUUUCAGAGACUUUUCGAACAGAAAUGGCUUCAUUUUAUCAACCUUUUCAUUUAAGGGAAAUGUUCUAAAUGCAUUCUUACUACCUCUUUAAAUAAAAACAUACUCUAUGAAGGGGAAAAGUCCGAAGGUCUGAGAUUGGGUCAGCCACUAAUGUACUAAUGUCACAGAGACAGCCCAGAAAGAUCAAAUAAUUCAAGAAGGGAGAAAUAUUGGUAAUUAGAGCAUCCCAGCUUUAUGGCAUUAAUAAUGCUUAAGGGACACUGAGAUUUACACACACUAUUCAACAGUCUAGUUAAGGAAGAGUACAGCAUUUAAUCAUGAGGGGGAGAAGGAUAAGGUUCUCUGAUACAUUAUGGUUGUGAUUACAUAGCACAGGGCCAAAAUACAUCUGAAAGUCAUUUCUUUCCAUUUCAUUACAGUUUACAAAUUCCAUGCCUAAUUUUAAACAUUAGCACUCCAGGCUAGAUAUAUAAUAGCCUCUAUCUAAUCCUACGAGCCAUUACAACAGAGUUUAUAGUAUCAUCCACACAAGUCUGGUGGAGCCACAUUCUGCUUAUGAAACACAGGGCUAUAAAGCAGAUGGGGGUCCAGGGAUAGCUGCCGACAAGCCAAGCUGAGAAAGCAGCACUAAAACGUCACAUUAGUUGAAAGUCCAUGACAGAUAGGACCUCAAUUUAUACAACUAAAGCAGUACUAUGAACCAUAAGGUGGGGGGCACUGAAGCUGAAUUUAAGGGAUUAAUAAGCAAAAGAGGGGUGGUGAAGUGAUUUUUUGUAAUCCUUUAUUUAAAUAAUGAAAUACUGGACAAUAAAAAAAAAACAGUUUGCCUAUAAUAUUGAAGUCUCCAGGACCCCUUAACAGCUACAUUUUUCUGAUAGAUAAGUACAAUUGCUGUUUAAUUUGUGCCAUCUCAGGUGCUUUAAAAUCCCGUUGGUAUAUCAUAAUAGUCCCUCCAAAUAGCUGAAGCAUUAACGAUAGAGAGAAACUGAGCAGAAAAAGGUUAAUGCAGUGGCCAGUAAAAAGAAAAAAAAAAGCACAAGAAGAAGUGAAAAAUUCUCUUCCUAAAUAAACUUGCUAAUGCUAAAAAUAAUCAGUAUCAAUUUGGAACACACUAACUUGGAAUUCUUGAAAAUCUGGAUCGAAACAAAGUUAUGAAUUAAUAUUAUACUAAUAUUUUUUAAAUAUUGGUGAGCUAACAAUGGAAGAAAUAUAAUAGAGUAGCAUGUUGAACCUACUUAUAAAAAUUAUACGCUAUAGCAGCACUAACUAUAAUCAAAUAAUUGGCAUUCUAAUUACAAGUAAUUCUUAUAUUUAUUAAAGCAAGCUUAGCAAGACCUCUACUAGAUGACAUUGUAAACUUACUGUUUGUUCUCAAAACUAAUGCAAUUUACCUUUUUAAAACAGAGUUUUGCACUGAUUGAAUGGCCUGGAUAAUUGUUCCCAGUAUAUUAGGAGGCAGAACAAGCAGAUUAUAUACAAUACCAUGCAUACAUAGAAGAAUAAAAAUGACUGCAGCAGAAACAUUAAAACGUAAAUAAUGCAGAAGGCUAGAUGAUGAAAUUGCAUGUUUGUUUCUUUGUGCUUCUCUUUAUUUUCUGGAGUUUCUACAAUGAGUCUGCAUUUCUACUGCAUUGGGGGGAAAGGUUUUAGUGGUUAUUUUGAACUGGCUUUCUCCUUUCAGUUCAGCCUACACAAACUGUUAGAUCAUUUUCCCUGCAAAAAAAUUAUUUAAGCAUGUCACUCUCUGUUAAGUAAAUAAAUGUUUUAAAAAUCUUUAAUGCCAUUCCUACACUGCCUACAGAUUUAACUACAAAUUCCUCAGCUUGGCAUGCAAAGCCCUAUUCAGUAUGAUUCCAAAUUCUCUUUCCAGCUUCAUCUCCCACCAUUCCCUACAGGAAUCCUGCAUUGCAGAAAAAUAUUCCUUGUGUGUUUCCAUGCCAGGUUUUUUCUCUGACUCCUCUUGCUUAGACAGGCCUCCUGUGCAUCUUUGCUUAUUAAAUCAUACCCAUUCUCCAAAGCCCAUCUCAAAUGCCACAACCCCCAGGAACAUUUUCAGAUGUAUCCAGUUACAUGGGAUCUCUCCCUUCUUUAAACUGCCAUAGCAUUUUGUUCAUUCCUGUUAUGACAUUUCUUAUAUCCUGCCUCAUUAUACUUACUUGCAUAAUUAUCUUCUCCCCAGCCAAGACUAGGAGAGCCUGAAGGAAAGGACUGGAACUUACUCACUGUUGUAUUACCCACAGGGGCUAGUAGAGUGCUUUUGUAAAAUAGUAAUGCUGUUGCAAUAAAUAUGUUUGUUGCAAGGUUAAAUUAUGAGAAGACUGAGCUAAAUAUUUUGGGCCAAUAAGGCAAAGUAAGAACUAUAACAAAAAAAACACUAAGUUAAUCUAAGUUAAGUUCAGAGAGGUAAAAUUAUUUGCUGCACCUCUGACUUUUAAUUACCUAUAGUGCUAGGAUAAGAAUGUGCCACAAACUUAUCUGUCCUCAAGGCAAGCCUGAGAGCAUCAACAAUUGAAAAAAAAUGCCAGUAAUUACCCAACCUAAUAUUCUAGAAUGGAAGUUUUCAUACAUUUUGCUGACACAAAUAAAUAAAUAAAUAAAUAAAUAGCAAGCUUCUGUGUUCAAGAAAACUGAAUUGAGAAGAAAGAAAAAAGAAGAGAUAGCUGGUAUCUUCUUAUUUUCUUUGAAUUCUCAGUCCUGAACACAAAACCUAUCACAUAAGUGCUUAAUUAACAUGUUGAACUAAGCUGAACUCCUACAAUGACAAAAAAUAAAGCAUAUUAAGAGUAACAGUUGCUUAAAU